UUUGUAUUACGUGCGGAAAUUGUUACCAUUUUAGAGCCGAAAAUGGUAACAAUUUCCGCACGUAAUACAAA
rnacentral:miRNA from 1 species